rnacentral:rRNA from 1 species
AUAAUAUUUAACGGCCGCGGUACCUUGACCGUGCGAAGGUAGCAUAAUCACUUGUCUUUUAAAUGAAGACUUGUAUGAAAGGCAUCACGAGAAUUUAACUGUCUCUAUUUUCUAAUCAAUGAAAUUGAUUUAUUCGUGCAGAAGCGAAUAUAAUGACAUUAGACGAGAAGACCCUAUGGAGCUUUAAACACUUAAAUUAAUUAUAUAAUAAUUUUUCUCUCAGGAUUUAAACUCAAUAUAUAAUAAUUUUAAUUUAACUGUUUUCGGUUGGGGUGACCAAGGGGAAAAAUAAAUCCCCCUUAUCGAUCGAGUACUAAGUACUUAAAAAUUAGAAUAACAAUUCUAAUUAAUAAAAUAUUUACCGAAAAAUGACCCAGGAUUUCCUGAUCAAUGAACCAAGUUACCCUAGGGAUAACAGCGCAAUCCUUUCUUA